rnacentral:rRNA from 1 species
UACAGAGGUCUCAAGCGUUGUUCGGAUUCAUUGGGCGUAAAGGGUGCGUAGGCGGCGCGGUAAGUCGUGUGAAAUCUCGGAGCUUAACUCCGAAACUGCAUUCGAUACUGCCGUGCUUGAGGACUGGAGAGGAGACUGGAAUUUACGGUGUAGCGGUGAAAUGCGUAGAUAUCGUAAGGAAGACAGUGGCGAAGGCGGGUCUCUGGACAGUUCCUGACGCUGAGGCACGAAGGUCAGGGGAGCAAACGGG